rnacentral:misc_RNA from 1 species
UCCGAGUUGACCCCGGCAGUCUCCGAUGAGUCCCCACCACCCCCCGAAGGGAGCGUGCUGGCAACAUCGAACGAGGGUUGCGCUCGUUGCGGGACUUAACCCAACAUCUCACGACACGAGCUGACGACAACCAUGCACCACCUGUCCACCGACCCAAAGGGGGGCACUGUCUCCAGUGCUUUCCGGUAGAUGUCAAGCCUUGGUAAGGUUCUUCGCGUUGCGUCGAAUUAAGCCACAUGCUCCGCUGCUUGUGCGGGCCCCCGUCAAUUCCUUUGAGUUUUAGCCUUGCGGCCGUACUCCCCAGGCGGGGCACUUAAUGCGUUAGCUGCGGCGCGGACGACGUGGAAUGUCGCCCACACCUAGUGCCCAACGUUUACGGCGUGGACUAC